rnacentral:rRNA from 1 species
AUACGUAGGUGGCAAGCGUUGUCCGGAUUUAUUGGGCGUAAAGCGAGCGCAGGCGGUUUCUUAAGUCUGAUGUGAAAGCCCCCGGCUCAACCGGGGAGGGUCAUUGGGAACUGGGAGACUUGAGUGCAGAAGAGGAGAGUGGAAUUCCAUGUGUAGCGGUGAAAUGCGUAGAUAUAUGGAGGAACACCAGUGGCGAAGGCGACUCUCUGGUCUGUAACUGACGCUGAGGCUCGAAAGCGUGGGGAGCAAACAGGAUUAGAUACCCUGGUAGUCCACGCCGUAAACGAUGAGUGCUAAGUGUUGGAGGGUUUCCGCCCUUCAGUGCUGCAGCUAACGCAUUAAGCACUCCGCCUGGGGAGUACGACCGCAAGGUUGAAACUCAAAGGAAUUGACGGGG